CAGCCGCCACGGUAAUACAGAGGUCUCAAGCGUUGUUCGGAUUCAUUGGGCGUAAAGGGUGCGUAGGUGGCUUGGUAAGUUGAAGGUGAAAUCUCGGGGCUUAACUCCGAAACUGCCUUCAAUACUGCUGAGCUCGAGGAUUGUAGAGGAGAAUGGAAUUCACGGUGUAGCAGUGAAAUGCGUAGAUAUCGUGAGGAAGACCAGUGGCGAAGGCGAUUCUCUGGGCAAUUCCUGACACUGAGGCACGAAGGCCAGGGGAGCAAACGGGAUUAGAUACCCCAGUAGUCCCUGUCUCUUAUAC
rnacentral:rRNA from 1 species